rnacentral:tRNA from 1 species
GUUUCUGUCGUGUAGUGGUCAUCACGUGCGCUUCACACGCGCAUGCAAGGUCCCCAGUUCGAACCUGAGCGGAAACA